CUGUGCUCUGAACUCUCAGGCUCUGCCAUAUUUCUCAUUACACUGGUAUUUGGGCACUUCAAAGGGAAAGGAAACAUAACUGUCCCAAGCACUGAGCUAGAUUCUGAGCACGUAGGAGUCAGGAGAGGGUGAUACAGAAUAGACUAGGUGAAAUAUGGCUAGAUUUCUGGUAGAAAAGGAUUAAUUCAUUCCAUCCAAAUUCUUCAUUUUAUAGAUAAGAAAAUUGAGGUUCGAAAUGGGGAAGGGGCUUACCAAGUUCCCAUAGGGAAGUUUAGAUGUCCUGACUUCCAGGUAAGAUGCCAGGCUAUUGGACCCUGCUCAGGAAUGAUGGUCCACACAGCUGCACCUCUGUACAGCCAAUAUUCCUUUUUUAAAAACCUUGCCCAACAACUUGGCAGUGUCUAAUGCGAGCUACAAAACAUUUUCUAUUCUUUGAUCAAGCAGUUUCACUCUUGGUAAAGUAGGGGAGACUGUGCAAAGAUGCAGAAAUAGCCAAUUUAAUAGCAAAAACUGGAAAUAAACCCGAGUCCUGACAAUAAGAAAAUCGCCAAGCUUAUUGGGAUCUGUUAACACAAUGAAGAAUUAAAGAAUGAUUUUAAAUGGCUAGAAUGUGAACUAUAUUGAUAGAUAUAGAAUCCUUCCCCGUGAAAUAAGCAGAACCCAAAGUAGUAUGGGUUCGCUGAUUACAACUAUAUAAGAAAUUCAUGGGUAUUAAAUAACAGAAGAGAGGUCCUUUACAUAAACCAUUUUUCCUAUGUGACUGUGCAGUGGGAUAAAAGCUCUCAUACUGCUGGUAGAAGUGUAAGUUGAUUAAACUGGAAAAAAUAGUUUGACAACUUAUAUAGAAAUUUAAGAUUUUUUUUUUUUUUGAGAUGGAGUCUCGCUCUGUCGCCCAGGCUGGAGUGCAGUGGCCUGAUCUCAGCUUGCUGCAAGCUCCACCUCCCAGGUUCAUGGCAUUCUCCUGCCUUAGCCUCCCAAGUAGCUGGGACUACAGGUGCCCGCCACCACGCCCAGCUAAUUUUGUUUUUGUAUUUUUAGUAGAGUUGGGGUUUCACCAUGUUAGCCAGGAUGGCUUUGAUCUCCUGACCUCGUGAUCUGCCCGCCUCGGCCUCCCAAAGUGCUGGGAUUACAGGCGUGAGCCACCGCACCCGGCCAGAAUUUAGGAAUGUUUUGAAUACUGAAGAGAUGAAAAAAAAUAGAAAAAUAAAAAUGUUCCCAAUAAUUCCAUGUUUAGGAAUAUAGCCUAAGGAAAUGUUCUUAGAAAAAUAUUUAUAGGUCAGGCGGGGUGCCUCACGCCUAUAAUCCUAGCACUUUGGGAGGUCGAGGCAGGCGGAUUGCCUGAGCUCAGGAGUUCAAGACCAGCCUGAACAAAAGAAAUCGGCUGGGCGUGGCGGCGUGCGCCUGUAGUCCCAGCUACUCGGGAGGCUGAGGCAGGAGAAUUGCUUGAAUCCGGGAGGCAGAGGUUGCAGUGAGCCGAGAUUGUGCCACUGCACUCCAGCCUGGGCAACAAAGCAAGAUUCUAUAUCCACACACAAAAAAAGAAAACUAUUUAUAAACAAAAAAUAUUCAUUAAAGCAGUAUCUAUGAUAGCGGGAAAUGGAAACACUCUAAAUGCCCAUCAGUGAAAUAUUUUGCAGACAUUGAAAAUAAUGUCAUCUUUCCUUUAAUACAGAAUCAAGGAAAAAUGUUUUAUGUAAAUCUUUUAUUUUAUUAUACUUUAAGUUUUAAGGUACAUAUGCACAACAUGGAGGUUUGUUACAUAUGUAUACAUGUGCCAUGUUGGUGUGCUGCACCCAUUAACUCGUCAUUUAGCAUUAGGUAUAUCUCCUAAUGCUAUCCCUCCCCCCUCCCCCGAAUCAAGGAAAAUUAAAUAAUAUGAUGUAAGUUUGGCUACAGAGAUAACUGUUCUAUAAAAAGACUAGGUUGGGCGCGGUGGCUCACACCUGUAAUCCCAGCACUUUGGGAGGCAGAGGCAGGUGGACCACCUGAGGCCAGGAGCUCGAGACCCACCUGGCCAACAUGGUGAAACUCUGUCUCUACUAAAAUACAAAAAUUAGUGCCUGUAAUCCCAGCUACUUGGGAGGCUGAGUCAGGAGAAUCACCUGGGCAACAUGGUGAGACUGCACCUCAGAAAAAACCAAAAAACCCAUACCACUUGUAAGAUAAUUCCUUGAUCAACCCCACCUACCUAGAACCAUUCAUUAAGUGUUUUAUUUAACAUUUGUGGGGUGUCUCCUCUUUGUAUUCCCAGCACCUACUUUGGUAAGGUGCUGGGAAUACAAAGUUCAGUACUAUAUGGGUCAUGCCUAGUCAUGUCUACUGGAGGAGAGAGACAAGUGAGUCACGGAUUAUAGGUCAGUAGGAUAGAUGCAAAUUAAAUUCAUCUUACUCAGGAUUUAAACAGCUUAUAUGACAUGACUUUGCAUUCAUGUUUCUUUGCUUUUCAUGUGUUCUUAGGUCAGUGUCAUGUAUUUUGCUACCUCCCUAACGAGCUUAUAAUCCAGGAUAGGGCUGUGGAUUCUGUUUAUACUACCAAUACAUAUUCAGAGCACCUUGGUUUGGAGUUCUAGGUGGAAUCCCACAUAAAUUUGCUGAAUUGGCCGGGCGUGGCAGCUCAUGCCUGUAAUCCCUGCACUUUGGGAGGGUGAGGAGGGCGGAUCACCUGAGGUCAGGAGCUCCAGACCCACUUGGCCAACACGGUGAAACCCUGUCUCUACUAAAAUACAAAAAUUAGCCGGGUGUGGUGGGGGGUGCCUGUAAUCCCAGCUACUUUGUGGGGGUGAGGCAGGAGAAUCGCUUGAACCCAGGAGGCAAAGGUUGCAGUGAGCCGAGAUUGCACCACUGCACUCCAGCCUGGGUGACAGAGCCAGACUCUGUCUCUAAAUAAAUAAAUAAAUAAAAAAUUUGCUGAAUCAACUGAUGAUUUCAACCUGAAAAAAUACAGGUGAGUAAGCCUAUAGGCCACUAGGCAAAUGUCGUGUUGCCCUCUCAUCUCCUUACCCACCUACACAGGUGGUCACACAGACUGCAAUAAACCCAUAUCCAGGUCAACUAAAGGAAACCUUUGCCUUGCAGGCCCUGUUGAUCCUAAGGGAACUUGCCUCAUCCUGGAUAUGAAUCACAUACUUAAUUUUAGGUUGCCACUUGUGAAUACUAACUGUUCUGGCCAAAUUAAUCCUCAAGGAACAGAACGAAAUGAGCUUAAGACCCUAAUGCCAGGCCAGGCACAGUGACUCGUGCCUAUAAUCCCAGUGCUUUGGGAGGCUGAGGUGGGAGGAUUACUUGAGCUCAGGAGUUGGAGACCAGCCUAGACAACAUAGUGAGACCCCUUCCUAACUGUCCCACCAUUUUCUCUCUAAAGAAAAGAAAAAAAAAGACCUUAAUGCCGAUUGUAAUGAAGCCAUAAUUGAAUAACCUAACUGCCAGUGGCUGUUGGAAUAACCUGAAUUGUAUUCCUCGAGCACUUAGUAUGCAUUCCUUAGUUUUACUGCACUUCUUAUCACCAGAACAGGAAAGGAAUGGUGUCCUACAGCUCCUUGACCAAGUACCUCUCCACCAAUACUAUGAGCACUAAAGAUGCAGCAACGAAGCACUAGACUCUGGGAUGUGAAGAUCUCAAAUUCUAUUCUCUGUGCACUUCAGAGUUGGAGAAGGAUCCAUCAAGUUUCAGUAGAAUGUACCAAGGAAGGGAGGCAAUGUGGUAGAAUGGAAAGAAUAAGGAUUGUAGUUGAGACACCUGCAACCUGGACCUGCUAGUCCACCUACUGCUGUGUAAUCUUGGACAUUAUGUCCACCUCUAUGGGUUUCGGAUCCCUUAUCUGUAAAGUGAAGAGAUUGUCCAGAUGCUUUCCAGCACUAGCAAUCUGUGCUUUAAAGUUUUACCUAACAUACCAUACCUUUUAUCAAUGUCCACCUAGAGAUAAUAACCCAGCUUAUUUUAUUUGAGUUUUGAGACAGGGUCUUGCUCUGUCUUGCACUCCAGCUGGAGUGCAGUGGCACGAUCAUGGAUCACUGAAGUCUCCACCUCUGCGGUUCAAGCAUUCCUCCCACCUCAGCCUCCCGAGUAGCUGGGACUAUAGGCAUGCACCACCACAUCCAACUAAUUUUUUAUAUUUUUGUACAGACAGGGUCUCACUGUGUUGCCCAGGCUGGUCUCAAACUCCUGGGCUCAAGUGAUCCUCCCACCUUGGCCUCCCAAAGUGUUGGGAUUACAGGUGUGAGCCACCACGCCUGGCCUAACCCAGUUUCUUAGAUAGGGUCCCCAGCCUGUCAUUUAAGGCAUCUAAAUUUGAUGCACUUACUAAGUUGAUGCCAUUUUUGUUGUUGAAAAUUAUUCAUUUUUUAAAAAUAGUUAUGACUUUCACCACAUAUUAAUAAAUCAUUAUCUAGUGA